CUACGGGCCGCUGCAGUGAGGAAUAUUGCACAAUGGAGGAAACUCUGAUGCAGCAACGCCGCGUGGAGGAUGACGCAUUUCGGUGUGUAAACUCCUUUUAUAUGUCAAGAAAAUGACGGUAGCAUAUGAAUAAGCACCGGCUAACUCCGUGCCAGCAGCCGCGGUAAUACGGAGGGUGCAAGCGUUACUCGGAAUCACUGGGCGUAAAGGACGCGUAGGCGGGAUAUCAAGUCAGGUGUGAAAUCCUACAGCUUAACUGUAGAACUGCACUUGAAACUGGUAACCUAGAGUAUGGGAGGGGGAGAUGGAAUUAGUGGUGUAGGGGUAAAAUCCGUAGAUAUCACUAGGAAUACCUAAAGCGAAGGCGAUCUCCUGGAACAUUACUGACGCUAAGGCGUGAAAGCGUGGGGAGCAAACAGGAUUAGAUACCCCUGUAGUC
rnacentral:rRNA from 1 species